AAUCAACGCUGGCGGCGUGCCUCAGACAUGCAAGUCGAACGCGAAAGUCCCCUUCGGGGGAUGAUUAGAGUGGCGCACGGGUGAGUAACACGUAGGUAAUCUACCUUCGAGUGGGGAAUAACUCAGGGAAACUUGAGCUAAUACCGCAUAAUGCAGCGGCACCACAUGGUGACAGUUGUUAAAGCAUUUAUGCGCUUGAAGAGGAGCCUGCGGCAGAUAGCUAGUUGGUAAGGUAAUGGCUUACCAAGGCUACGAUCUGUAACCGGCCUGAGAGGGCGGACGGUCACACUGACACUGAAUAACGGGUCAGACUCCUAC
rnacentral:rRNA from 1 species